GCCUGAAUAGCUCAGUUGGUUACAGCGUGGUGUUGAUAAUGCCAAGGUUGUAAGUUCAAUCCCCAUAUGGGUC
rnacentral:tRNA from 1 species